rnacentral:lncRNA from 1 species
GGGGGGGGGGGGCCGCCGCUCCCGUCCCCUCCGGUCCCGCCGCUCCCGUCCCCUCCGGUCCCGCCGCUCCCGUCCCCUCCGGUCCCGCCGCUCCUGUCCCCUCCGGUCCCGCCGCUCCUGUCCCCUCCGGUCCCGCCGCUCCCGUCCUCUCCGGUCCCACCGCUCCCGUUCCCUCUGGUUCCAGCUGCUUGCUUCACCUUGUCCUUUCAGAUUUCCCUAUCUCCUCGUCCCCUUCGAUUUCCCCUCCUUCACCAUGCCCAAACCCUUCAGAUCGCUGUCACAGUCAUCUCAGAUACCCAGUACCUUCUCCUCUCUUCCCCAAAGAUUCCUACUCCCCUCAUCCUUUCUGAUUCCCAUUCCCCUCAUCCCCGUCGAUUGUCAUUCCUCUCGUCCUUCCUUUAGGCCACGGAGGCUCGAUGAUGAUGCUCUUUCGCAUGUGCAAAGAAACUCAGCUAUGCAUGCUCUGCUUUCUCUCCAGACUCAAACUUUGGUUGAAUUACCUCUUUCUUUGCAUUUCCUGCUGAUUUAUAUAUUAAUUUUUCUCCCAAUUUUUGUCUCCUUUCAGCACCCAAAAUCCCAUGGCAAUGGUGGACCCACGUGUGGAUUUUGCUGCAUGGCUCGCCGCGCGGGGAAUGAAGCCACGUUUUGCUCAAGCGAUGGCGCGUGAUCUUGGCAUUAGUGAUUACGACGAACUGCUCGCCUGUGCCGAACACCCGCAGGUUCGAGCUGAGCUGUUUGCAUCGGUCCGUGAUCGUUUCCCCUUUGCCUUCUAUGCUGUACUACGGCGUGUCACUGAAGCUGUGGUUCCAACCGUCUCCAAUGGUUCUGAAGUUUUCAACGGCACCAGAGCAGCACCAAGUCUCCCGCAAAUGAUCGUGGCAAUGCUGAAUAGCCUAAGUGAGGAGUUGCGACAGUCGGCGCAACGGUUCAGCACCGUGCAGUUGACACAGAGUAACACCAUUAAUCCUCCAGAAUUCGGGUCAAUUCGAGAAACAGGUUUGCUAAUAAUUUUCCCUCCCUUCCAUGCAGUUGUGCCUUCUUUUUUGUUUUACUUUCUUGCAUACCCUAUUUUGCUUCAUUCUCUCACAUUUCUGUUCCGCUCCAAGCUUGGGGUCCUGGAGGGUGGAGGGGAGGAUGCUCUUUCAUCUCGUUUUGCAAACCUAUCAUGGCUGCAUGGUCCAGCAAUCAAUUGUCUCACCAAUUCAAAUUUCACUAGCUGCAACAAGGAUUAAAUUGCUUGUAAGAGUGUAUAAGAGCAGACGUAGACUUUCCUGUUUGGUGGUAUAGGGAUUAGUACUAAUUGUUGGUAAGCUGUACCUUUUUCUUGAACAAUAAAUAAUCCCAACUGCCUAACUUAGUGUUAUAUACAUAUUGUAUAUUAAAU